AGGGGGCGCGAGCGUUGCUCGGAAUCACUGGGCGUAAAGCGUACGCAGGCGGAUCGAUAAGUCCGUUGUGAAAUCCCGGGGCUCAACCCCGGAAAUGCGAUGGAGACUGCCGAUCUUGAGUACGGGAGAGGGGAGCGGAAUUCCUGGUGUAGAGGUGAAAUUCGUAGAUAUCAGGAGGAACACCGGUGGCGAAAGCGGCUCCCUGGCCCGAUACUGACGCUCAUGUACGAAAGCGUGGGGAGCAAACAGGAUUAGAUACCCUGGUAGUCCACGCCGUAAACGAUGAGUGCUAGCUGCUGGGACACCUUCUUUGUCUCGGUGGCGUAGCUAACGCGUUAAGCACUCCGCCUGGGAAGUACGGUCGCAAGACUA
rnacentral:rRNA from 1 species